rnacentral:rRNA from 1 species
GACGAACGCUGGCGGCGUGCCUAAUACAUGCAAGUAGGACGCAGUUGCGAACGGGUGAGUAACGCGUAGGUAACUGCCUCUUAGCGGGGGAUCACUAUUGGAAACGAUAGCUAAUCCCGCAUACUAGUAGCUGGACCUGCGUUGUAUUAGCUAGUAUGUCGGGUAAUGGCCUACCUAGGCGACGAUACAUAGCCGAACGGAGAGGGGUAUCGGCCACACUGGGACUGAGACACGGCCCAGACUCCUACGGGAGGCAGCAGUAGGGAAUCUUCGGCAAUGGGGGGAACCCUGACCGAGCAACGCCGCGUGAGUGAAGAAGGUUUUCGGAUCGUAAAGCUCUGUUGUUAAGGAAGCGGUACUUAACCAGAAAGGGACGGCUAACUACGUGCCAGCAGCCGCGGUAAUAC